GACGAACGCUGGCGGCGUGCUUAACACAUGCAAGUCGAGCGGUAAGGCCCUUUCGGGGGUACACGAGCGGCGAACGGGUGAGUAACACGUGGGUGACCUCGCCCUUAGCUCUGGGAUAAAGCCUGGGAAACUGGGUCUAAUACCGGACAUGACUCCAUAACGCAUGUUGUGGGGUGGAAAGCCUUGUGCGGCUAGGGAUGGGCCCGCGGCCUAUCAGCUUGUUGGUGGGGUGAUGGCCACCAAGGCGACGACGGGUAGCCGGCCUGAGAGGGCGACCGGCCACACUGGGACUGAGACACGGCCCAGACUCCUACGGGAGGCAGCA
rnacentral:rRNA from 1 species